UACGUAGGGGGCAAGCGUUGUCCGGAAUCAUUGGGCGUAAAGAGCGUGUAGGCGGUCCGGUAAGUCCGCUGUGAAAGUCGGGGGCUCAACCCUCGAAUGCCGGUGGAUACUGUCGGGCUAGAGUGCGGGAGAGGCGAGUGGAAUUCCUGGUGUAGCGGUGAAAUGCGCAGAUAUCAGGAGGAACACCAAUUGCGAAGGCAGCUCGCUGGAACGUAACUGACGCUGAGACGCGAAAGCGUGGGGAGCAAACAGG
rnacentral:rRNA from 1 species